GAUGAACGCUGGCGGCGUGCCUAAUACAUGCAAGUCGAGCGAACGGACGAGAAGCUUGCUUCUCUGAUGUUAGCGGCGGACGGGUGAGUAACACGUGGAUAACCUACCUAUAAGACUGGGAUAACUUCGUGAAACCGGAGCUAAUACCGGAUAAUAUUUUGAACCGCAUGGUUCAAAAGUGAAAGACGGUCUUGCUGUCACUUAUAGAUGGAUCCGCGCUGCAUUAGCUAGUUGGUAAGGUAACGGCUUACCAAGGCAACGAUGCAUAGCCGACCUGAGAGGGUGAUCGGCCACACUGGAACUGAGACACGGUCCAGACUCCUACGGGAGGCAGCAGUAGGGAAUCUUCCGCAAUGGGCGAAAGCCUGACGGAGCAACGCCGCGUGAGUGCUGAAGGUCUUCGGAUCGUAAAACUCUGUUAUUAGGGAAGAACAUAUGUGUAAGUAACUGUGAACAUCUUGACGGUACCUAAUCAGAAAGCCACGGCUAACUACGUG
rnacentral:rRNA from 1 species